rnacentral:snRNA from 1 species
GUAUUUGCUUCAGCAACAUGUGUACUAAAAUUGGAAUGAUACAGAGAUUAGCAUGGCUUCUGUGGCAUGCAAAUUCAUGGAGCAAUCCAUAUUUCA